ensembl:snoRNA LOC120095755 small nucleolar RNA SNORA17
CCUAUCCUUAGAGGCACUGCAGUUGUGGCUGCUGUGACACGUGUGUCAUUAGGUGACUGAGAGGAGAGAGGGUAUGUCCACAUUCCAUAUUUUUACUUACGAAUAUCUGAAUGAUUAGUAGCAUAACAUU